rnacentral:rRNA from 1 species
AUAACGGUCCUAAGGUAGCGAAAUUCCUUGUCGGGUAAGUUCCGACCUGCACGAAUGGCGUAACGACUUCCCCGCUGUCUCCAACAUCGACUCAGCGAAAUUGAAUUGCCUGUCAAGAUGCAGGCUUCCCGCGGUUAGACGGAAAGACCCCGUGCACCUUUACUACAACUUUACACUGAUAACAGGCACAAUAUGUGCAGAAUAGGUGGUAGGCUUUGAAGCAGGGACGCCAGUCCUUGUGGAGCCUCCUUUGAGAUACCACCCUUAUUUUUCUUGUUAUCUAACUGCGGUCCGUUAUCCGGAUCCAGGACCCUGUAUGGUGGGUAGUUUGACUGGGGCGGUCGCCUCCUAAAGCGUAACGGAGGCGCGCGAAGGUUGGCUCAGAGCGGUCGGAAAUCGCUCGUUGAGUGCAAUGGCAGAAGCCAGCCUGACUGCGAGACUGACAAGUCGAGCAGAGUCGAAAGACGGCCAUAGUGAUCCGGUGGUCCCGAGUGGAAGGGCCAUCGCUCAACGGAUAAAAGGUACGCCGGGGAUAACAGGCUGAUACUGCCCAAGAGUCCAUAUCGACGGCAGUGUUUGGCACCUCGAUGUCGGCUCAUCUCAUCCUGGGGCUGGAGCAGGUCCCAAGGGUACGGCUGUUCGCCGUUUAAAGAGGUACGUGAGCUGGGUUUAGAACGUCGUGAGACAGUUCGGUCCCUAUCUGCCGUGGGUGUAGGAUACUUGAGAGGAGUUGCCCCUAGUACGAGAGGACCGGGGUGAACGAUCCACUGGUGGACCAGUUGUCGACUACGGCAGUGCUGGGUAGCUAUGAUCGGACAGGAUAACCGCUGAAAGCAUCUAAGCGGGAAGCCCCCCUCAAAACAAGGUAUCCCUGAGGACCGAGGUAGACCACCUCGUCGAUAGGCCAGAGGUGUAAGCGUGGUAACACGUUCAGCUGACUGGUACUAAUGGUCCGAUAGGCUUGAUUUG